rnacentral:rRNA from 1 species
AGCAGCCGCGGUAAUUCCAGCUCCAAUAGCGUAUAUUAAAGUUGUUGCAGUUAAAAAGCUCGUAGUUGAAUUUCGGGAUUAGUGCGCUGGUCAUGCCUUUGGUAUGUACUGGUGUUACUGAUUUCUACCUUCUGAAGAACCGUUAUGUCAUUUAUUUGGUGUGGCGGGGAAUCAGGACUGUUACUUUGAAAAAAUUAGAGUGUUUAAAGCAGGCUCGCGCUUGAAUACAUUAGCAUGGAAUAAUGAAAUAGGACGUUUGACCCUAUUUUGUUGGUUUCUAGGAUCGACGUAAUGAUUAAUAGGGAUAGUUGGGGGCAUUAGUAUUCAAUUGUCAGAGGUGAAAUUCUUGGAUUUAUUGAAGACUAACUACUGCGAAAGCAUUUGCCAAGGAUGUUUUCAUUAAUCAAGAACGAAAGUUAGGGGAUCGAAGACGAUCAGAUACCGUCGUAGUCUUAACCAUAAACUAUGCCGACUAGGGAUCGGAUGAUGUUAUUUUUAAUGACUCAUUCGGCGCCCUAAC